GGUCCUGUGGUCUAGUGGUAUGAUUCUCGCUUAGGGUUCGUGUAACCAUGCUAAGCACUAUUGCGAGAGGCCCCGCGUUCGAGUCGCGGCAGGACCC